UCCCUGAUGGUUCAGUGGUUAGGCUUGGUACUUUCACUGCCAUGGGCCCUGGUUCUAUCCCUGGUCAAGGAA
rnacentral:tRNA from 1 species